CAGUCGAACGGACUUACAUUGAAGCCUAGCGAUAUGUAAGUUAGUGGCGGACGGGUGAGUAACGCGUGGGUAACCUGCCUUGUACUGGGGGACAACAGUUGGAAACGACUGCUAAUACCGCAUAAGCGCACAGCUUCGCAUGAAGCAGUGUGAAAAACUCCGGUGGUACAAGAUGGACCCGCGUCUGAUUAGCUGGUUGGUGAGGUAACGGCCCACCAAGGCGACGAUCAGUAGCCGGCCUGAGAGGGUGAACGGCCACAUUGGGACUGAGACACGGCCCAAACUCCUACGGGAGGCAGCAGUGGGGAAUAUUGCACAAUGGGGGAAACCCUGAUGCAGCAACGCCGCGUGAGUGAAGAAGUAUUUCGGUAUGUAAAGCUCUAUCAGCAGGAAAGAAAAUGACGGUACCUGACUAAGAAGCCCCAGCUAACUACGUGCCAGCAGCCGCGGUAAUACGUAGGGGGCAAGCGUUAUCCGGAUUUACUGGGUGUAAAGGGAGCGUAGACGGUUUUGCAAGUCUGAAGUGAAAGCCCGGGGCUUAACCCCGGGACUGCUUUGGAAACUGUAGAACUAGAGUGCAGGAGAGGUAAGUGGAAUUCCUAGUGUAGCGGUGAAAUGCGUAGAUAUUAGGAGGAACACCAGUGGCGAAGGCGGCUUACUGGACUGUAACUGACGUUGAGGCUCGAAAGCGUGGGGAGCAAACAGGAUUAGAUACCCUGGUAGUCCAC
rnacentral:rRNA from 1 species